UCAUAUGCUUGUCUCAAAGAUUAAGCCAUGCAUGUCUAAGUAUAAGCAAUUAUACAGCGAAACUGCGAAUGGCUCAUUAUAUAAGUUAUCGUUUAUUUGAUAGUACCUUACUACUUGGAUAACCGUGGUAAUUCUAGAGCUAAUACAUGCUAAAAAUCCCGACUUCGGAAGGGAUGUAUUUAUUAGAUUAAAAACCAAUGCCCUCUGGGCUCUCUGGUGAUUCAUGAUAACUUCUCGAAUCGCAUGGCCUUGCGCCGGCGAUGGUUCAUUCAAAUUUCUUCCCUAUCAACUUUCGAUGUUUGGGUAGUGGCCAAACAUGGUUGCAACGGGUAACGGAGGGUUAGGGCUCGACCCCGGAGAAGGAGCCUGAGAAACGGCUACUACAUCCAAGGAAGGCAGCAGGCGCGCAAAUUACCCAAUCCCGACACGGGGAGGUAGUGACAAUAAAUACUGAUACAGGGCUCUUUUGGGUCUUGUAAUUGGAAUGAGUACAAUUUAAAUCCCUUAACGAGGAACAAUUGGAGGGCAAGUCUGGUGCCAGCAGCCGCGGUAAUUCCAGCUCCAAUAGCGUAUAUUAAAGUUGUUGUGGUUAAAAAGCUCGUAGUUGAACCUUGGGCCUGGCUGGCCGGUCCGCCUCACCGCGUGUACUGGUCCGGCCGGGCCUUUCCCUCUGUGGAACCCCAUGCCCUUCACUGGGUGUGGCGGGGAAACAGGACUUUUACUUUGAAAAAAUUAGAGUGCUCCAGGCAGGCCUAUGCUCGAAUACAUUAGCAUGGAAUAAUGAAAUAGGACGUGCGGUUCUAUUUUGUUGGUUUCUAGGACCGCCGUAAUGAUUAAUAGGGACAGUCGGGGGCAUCAGUAUUCAAUUGUCAGAGGUGAAAUUCUUGGAUUUAUUGAAGACUAACUACUGCGAAAGCAUUUGCCAAGGAUGUUUUCAUUAAUCAGGAACGAAAGUUAGGGGAUCGAAGACGAUCAGAUACCGUCGUAGUCUUAACCAUAAACUAUGCCGACUAGGGAUCGGACGAUGUUAUUUUUUGACUCGUUCGGCACCUUACGAGAAAUCAAAGUGCUUGGGCUCCAGGGGGAG
rnacentral:rRNA from 1 species